AUGAACGCUAGCGACAGGCUUAACACAUGCAAGUCGAGGGGCAGCACAGGUAGCAAUACCGGGUGGCGACCGGCGCACGGGUGAGUAACGCGUAUGCAACUUGCCUAUCAGAGGGGGAUAACCCGGCGAAAGUCGGACUAAUACCGCAUGAAGCAGGGGCCCCGCAUGGGGAUAUUUGCUAAAGAUUCAUCGCUGAUAGAUAGGCAUGCGUUCCAUUAGGCAGUUGGCGGGGUAACGGCCCACCAAACCGACGAUGGAUAGGGGUUCUGAGAGGAAGGUCCCCCACAUUGGUACUGAGACACGGACCAAACUCCUACGGGAGGCAGCAGUGAGGAAUAUUGGUCAAUGGGCGUAAGCCUGAACCAGCCAAGUCGCGUGAGGGAUGAAGGUUCUAUGGAUCGUAAACCUCUUUUAUAAGGGAAUAAAGUGCGGGACGUGUCCCGUUUUGUAUGUACCUUAUGAAUAAGGAUCGGCUAACUCCGUGCCAGCAGCCGCGGUAAUACGGAGGAUCCGAGCGUUAUCCGGAUUUAUUGGGUUUAAAGGGUGCGUAGGCGGCCUUUUAAGUCAGCGGUGAAAGUCUGUGGCUCAACCAUAGAAUUGCCGUUGAAACUGGGGGGCUUGAGUAUGUUUGAGGCAGGCGGAAUGCGUGGUGUAGCGGUGAAAUGCAUAGAUAUCACGCAGAACCCCGAUUGCGAAGGCAGCCUGCCAAGCCAUUACUGACGCUGAUGCACGAAAGCGUGGGGAUCAAACAGGAUUAGAUACCCUGGUAGUCCACGCAGUAAACGAUGAUCACUAGCUGUUUGCGAUACACUGUAAGCGGCACAGCGAAAGCGUUAAGUGAUCCACCUGGGGAGUACGCCGGCAACGGUGAAACUCAAAGGAAUUGACGGGGGCCCGCACGAGCGGAGGAACAUGUGGUUUAAUUCGAUGAUACGCGAGGAACCUUACCCGGGUUUGAACGCAUUCGGACCGAGGUGGAAACACCUUUUCUAGCAAUAGCCGUUUGCGAGGUGCUGCAUGGUUGUCGUCAGCUCGUGCCGUGAGGUGUCGGCUUAAGUGCCAUAACGAGCGCAACCCUUGCCACUAGUUACUAACAGGUGAUGCUGAGGACUCUGGUGGGACUGCCAGCGUAAGCUGCGAGGAAGGCGGGGAUGACGUCAAAUCAGCACGGCCCUUACAUCCGGGGCGACACACGUGUUACAAUGGCGUGGACAAAGGGAGGCCACCUGGCGACAGGGAGCGAAUCCCCAAACCACGUCUCAGUUCGGAUCGGAGUCUGCAACCCGACUCCGUGAAGCUGGAUUCGCUAGUAAUCGCGCAUCAGCCAUGGCGCGGUGAAUACGUUCCCGGGCCUUGUACACACCGCCCGUCAAGCCAUGGGAGCCGGGGGUACCUGAAGUCCGUAACCGAAAGGAUCGGCCUAGGGUAAAACUGGUGACUGGGGCU
rnacentral:rRNA from 1 species